rnacentral:tRNA from 1 species
UUCCAGGUGGUGCAAAUGGUUAUCGCACUUGGUUACCAACUGAGAGGUUGGUGGUUCGAGUCCACCCACUGAAG